ensembl:lncRNA
GUUGGACUAGUAACCAGCAGGUAGCCUAGUGGUUAGAGUGUUGGACUAGUAACCAGCAGGUAGCCUAGUGGUUAGAGCGUUGGACUAGUAACCAGCAGGUAGACUAGUGGUUAGAGCGUUGGACUAGUAACCAGCAGGUAGCCUAGUGGUUAGAGCGUUGGACUAGUAACCAGCAGGUAGCCUAGUGGUUAGAGUGUUGGACUAGUAACCAGCAGGUAGCCUAGUGGUUAGAGUGUUGGACUAGUAACCAGCAGGUAGCCUAGUGGUUAGAGUGUUGGACUAGUAACCAGCAGGUAGCCUAGUGGUUAGAGCGUUGGACUAG